CCUACGGGGGGCAGCAGUGGGGAAUAUUGGACAAUGGGGGCAACCCUGAUCCAGCAAUUCUGUGUGCACGAAGACGGUUUUCGGAUUGUAAAGUGCUUUCAGCAGGGAAGAAGGAAGUGACGGUACCUGCAGAAGAAGCGACGGCUAAAUACGUGCCAGCAGCCGCGGUAAUACGUAUGUCGCGAGCGUUAUCCGGAAUUAUUGGGCAUAAAGGGCAUCUAGGCGGCCUUUCAAGUCAGGGGUGAAAACCUGCGGCUCAACCGCAGGCCUGCCUUUGAAACUGAUAGGCUGGAGUACCGGAGAGGUGGACGGAACUGCACGAGUAGAGGUGAAAUUCGUAGAUAUGUGCAGGAAUGCCGAUGAUGAAGAUAGUUCACUGGACGGUAACUGACGCUGAAGUGCGAAAGCCGGGGGAGCGAACAGGAUUAGAUACCCGGGUAGUC
rnacentral:rRNA from 1 species